AGGGCGGUAGCUCAGUCCGGUAGAGCGGUGGACUCCAAAUCCAUUGGUCGGGGGUUCAAAUCCUCUCCGCCCUG
rnacentral:tRNA from 1 species